GGAAGAGGGGCGGCGAGGAAGAGGGGCGGCGAGGGUGGAGGCGGAGGAGGAGACGCGGGCGCUGUGGGGUGAGAUGGAGGAGGAGCGCCUCGCCGCGGCCAGCGCCGCCAGCAAGGCCAUGGCCAUGAUGUGGCGCCUGUAGAAGGAGAAGGCCGAGGUCCAGAUGGAGCUCCGUCGCUUCGCCGCCGAGAUCGACGACCUUCGUGCCCUCAUCGCCGUCGAGGAGCGGGAUGCCGAGGCGGAAGAGGAAAUCUUCAGGAGCUACGGGAUCGACGUCCGACCGCCGCCAUGACCGGCCUCUUGCGCAGCUCCCGGCCGCCGUCUCCUGUGCCUCCUCCCGUGUCUCCCCCACCUCGCCUGUGCAGCACCGUGGCUGCACGUCGCCGGCGCCAUCUGCUGCAGCCCCACAGUCAGCCACCUGCACGCCAUGGGCAACAGCCAUGGAGGCCGCUUGCUCGCCCCUCACCAGCCAAUACCUCCGCCAACAUCUCAUCCAUCAAUCAGCAACUAAGCAGGAGGACUGCAUGUGAUUUUGGACCUUGGGAGCGACUGGGUGAUUAUAUGCCAGGUAAUCUGUUUUGCUGAAUUUGUUCAGAAGGCAAAUCCUUGAGGUUGACAACACAUGUCCAGUUCGAUCUGUUUUCAUUACACACACAUGUUGUUUUUCCAUUAGCAAUGCAAAUUAGCUACCAUCUUAAUGUUAUGUCUUUGUUUUCUUUUACAAUCUGCAAGGAACUCAAAGAUAGUUGUACGUUUGCUCACGUGCAUUUUAGUCCAUAAAUUGUUUGGGCAAUACAGAACCGAAGAAUAUGUACAUGUUUGGUUACAAACUUCAGUUUCUUUUGAUGCUUAUGAAAUAGUUAAAUGCUGAAUAUUGUAGUUAAGAGAAUAGACAGCUCUCUUCCCACAAAAGAGAAGGAAGUAGCUAGAGCUCUCCUAUGAACGUGUAUUGAGAUCUUCCGGCAAUGCUAGGAUUUUGAGGUUUUUCCUUUAAAUUAAGUGUGCAGUUCUUGCUUCUGAUCAUUACAAUUACUUAGUGUUAAUUUUGUUAUCUUGCGUGUACAACAUGCUAUUCUCUGUUCAGCUGACUGCAUGACCAAUAUUAAUCAUUCUGUAUAUGAGUAAUUUAAUUUUCUUAUUUCAUGCAGUUUGGAGCAAUUCGUGGUUACUAACAGUUUCGAAUUAGAUUUAUUUCAAUUGCAAUGAGGUACAACACUGACCCUCUUCCUUGCUGUCUUAUCUCCACUGUUUUGGUUUAACUAGCAUAUGUGGAGGACGAUGGGAAGACGAGCUAGACGCCAGAAGCAAUAUUGCAACACCAUGCUUGAGGAACUUGAUUCUACCAGUAUAUAAGCAUUAUACUUUCUAACACUGAGAGCUUAAUUAUCUUUGAUGCAACCAGUCCAUCCAAGUAUGCAAAUAUCUGAUGCAUGUGCAAUCAGUACUUUUGCAUGUCUAAUACAUGUAGAAAGAUCCGAAUUUGGUCAUUAAUUUCCCUUUUAGUACUUACUAACGUUUUUAUUGUUUUGGAUGAUCCAGAAUUGAUUUGGGAUGUAGAGAUUGAAGAACAGAAAAAUCUUAAGCCAUCAGGUCAGGAUGUCAGGUUCAGAAUUGCCUGGGCAUCUUCGAGUGUCAUGAUGAUGUUGAUUAUCGGGAUAUGGAGGUACGUGUGCUCCAUACCGUGGCUGAGCCUGUCGGAUCCGCAGAGUGGCUGCACGACACCUUAGGGACCCGAUGUGAAGUCGCAUAUGCUAUUCUACAGUGCUUGCCCUCUAAAAUCUGAAUUGUCGGUUGUACAUUUAGUGUUGAACUGCAGUAAUCUACUGCACUUGCAUCUGAAUUGUACAUUUAAUAAGUUAAUACUUGAGAGUUAAGAUAGAUCACUAAUCUGGCUGGGUCUCUAUCGUUGUGGCAAUUUGGCAAGCGUUUCUAGAGGUGAUAAAUCUGCAAGCAGAAAGUCAAUGUCCUUCUGCUAUGCCGCACAAUUACAGUGCUUUCACAUUAUGGAUAACUUUGUUUCCUAAAAGUAAAAUCUUUGUCAGUGCCAAAUCAGGGUGCAGGACAAGUCAGCCAUCCGUGCGAAGUCGGUGUCAGCAAGGGUGUGGGGCGUCCGGAGGAGCAUCCGGGUUGAAGGUUCUGGCCCUCACCAUCGAGACUACCAUGGUCGUCGCCAAGUACAUCUGGAAUGAGAAGGUGGAGUUGCGACAGGAAGGAGGAAUGAAUUUCUAAUGGAUCUACUGUCUCCCUUGAGUUGGGGCGAACGUAGUGAAGCACCACGCUGUGUUUAUUGAUCUGGAAUCCAAGAGGAUCACCCGCCCUUGGUUGUUCCCUUCGUUUGUCAACUAGGUGACUUUUCAUGUGAUUUCUGCUUCCAAAAAUUAGAAAAUACCUUCAGAUCAAACCAGCAGAUUUGUAGAUUUCUGGGAAUUGCUGCUACUCCAUCUCCAUCUAGCCAAUGGUCUUUGGUUACUGAUUCUGAGUGAGCUCGAGAAAACACAACUACAAGCUUUCAGGUCCUAAAUGAGAAGGUAAGGAUGUACUUGAGCAGUAUGAGAAGACCCAGUUCCAUCAUCUCAGAAGCCAGAAGUUCCCCAUUUAAUAUCUUUCAUUCUGAAAUUUGUUUAAGAAGAUGGUCAUUCUUCUAUUAGCAGCACGAUUAUGUGUCAAUUGUAGAUUCUUAAUUGCUUAGAAUUAUUUUAUAUGUUUGAUUCCUUCGAUU